rnacentral:rRNA from 1 species
GGUGAGGGCGUGGAAGUAGAGUGUGUAAUGAGGAGUGUGCAGGUGUUAAUCGGAAAUUGUGGGGGGUAAGGGUGGGUAGUGGGAAAGUUAAGUCAGAUGUGAAAUGCCGGGUGUCAUCCCCGGAGCUGCAUCUGAAACUGAUUUUCUAGCAGAAUGGCGGAGAAAACGGAAGUCCACGUGUAGCGGUGAAAUGCGUAGAUAUGUGGAAGAACACCUGUGGCGAAAGCGGUUUUCUAGCCUACUCUGGACGCUGAGGCACGAAAGCAAGGGGAGCAAACAGGAUUAGAUACCCUGGUAGUC